CCUACGUGAGGCAGCAGUGAGGAAUAUUGGUCAAUGGACGAAAGUCUGACCCAGCAACGUAGCGUGAAGGAUGAAUGCCCUAUGGGUUGUAACCUUCUUUUUUAAAGACAUAACACGCGACACGUCCGCCUUUUUGCAUGUCCUUUAUGAAUAAGGAUCGGCUACCUCCGUGACAGCGGCCGCGGUAAUACGGAGGAUCCGAUCGUUAUCCGGAUUUAUUGGGUUUAAAGGGAGCGUAGAUGGUUGGGUAAGUCAGUUGUGAAAGUUUGAGGCUCAACCGUAAAAUUGCAAUUGAUACUGGCAGUCUUGAGUACAGGAGAGGUAGGCGGAAUUCGUGGUGUAGCGGUGAAAUGCUUAGAUAUCACGAAGAACCCCGAUGGCGAAGGCAGCCUACUAAACUGUGACUGACAUUGAUGCUCGAAAGUGUGGGGAUCAAACAGGAUUAGAUACCCGGGUAGUC
rnacentral:rRNA from 1 species